rnacentral:rRNA from 1 species
UGGGGAAUCUUGCGCAAUGGGCGAAAGCCUGACGCAGCCAUGCCGCGUGAAUGAUGAAGGUCUUAGGAUUGUAAAAUUCUUUCACCGGGGACGAUAAUGACGGUACCCGGAGAAGAAGCCCCGGCUAACUUCGUGCCAGCAGCCGCGGUAAUACGAAGGGGGCUAGCGUUGCUCGGAAUUACUGGGCGUAAAGGGCGCGUAGGCGGACAUUUAAGUCAGGGGUGAAAUCCCAGAGCUCAACUCUGGAACUGCCUUUGAUACUGGGUGUCUUGAGUGUGAGAGAGGUAUGUGGAACUCCGAGUGUAGAGGUGAAAUUCGUAGAUAUUCGGAAGAACACCAGUGGCGAAGGCGACAUACUGGCUCAUUACUGACGCUGAGGCGCGAAAGCGUGGGGAGCAAACAGGAUUAGAUACCCUGGUAGUCCACGCCGUAAACGAUGAUUGCUAGUUGUCGGGCUGCAUGCAGUUCGGUGACGCAGCUAAC